rnacentral:rRNA from 1 species
CGCAACCCUUGUUAUUAGUUGCUACCAUUAAGUUGAGCACUCUAAUGAGACUGCCUGGGUAACCAGGAGGAAGGUGGGGAUGACGUCAAAUCAUCAUGCCCCUUAUGUCCAGGGCUACACACGUGCUACAAUGGUAGGUACAAUAAGACGCAAGACCGUGAGGUGGAGCAAAACUUAUAAAACCUAUCUCAGUUCGGAUUGUAGGCUGCAACUCGCCUACAUGAAGCUGGAGUUGCUAGUAAUCGCGAAUCAGAAUGUCGCGGUGAAUACGUUCCCGGGCCUUGUACACACCGCCCGUCACACCAUGAGAGCUGGUAACACCCGAAGUCCGUGAGGUAACCGUAAGGAGCCAGCGGCCGAAGGNG